UCUGUUGAGAACACUGCGGUUUUAUAUGACAGAAUAAAUGGAACAUUGAAACAAAUUUUGACGGAAAUCCGUCCACAGAUGGAGGUUUUGCAGCCAUGGAUUUAUGAAGCCCAUU